GACGAACGCUGGCGGCGUGCUUAACACAUGCAAGUCGAACGAAGAGCGACGGAAGCUUGCUUCUAUCAAUCUUAGUGGCGAACGGGUGAGUAACGCGUAAUCAACCUGCCCUUCAGAGGGGGACAACAGUUGGAAACGACUGCUAAUACCGCAUACGAUCUAACCUCGGCAUCGAGGAUAGAUGAAAGGUGGCCUCUACAUGUAAGCUAUCACUGAAGGAGGGGAUUGCGUCUGAUUAGCUAGUUGGAGGGGUAACGGCCUACCAAGGCGAUGAUCGGUAGCCGGUCUGAGAGGAUGAACGGCCACAUUGGGACUGAGACACGGCCCAGACUCCUACGGGAGGCAGCAGUGGGGAAUCUUCCGCAAUGGACGAAAGUCUGACGGAGCAACGCCGCGUGAGUGAUGACGGCCUUCGGGUUGUAAAGCUCUGUUAAUCGGGACGAAAGGCCUUCUUGCGAAUAGUGAGAAGGAUUGGCGGUACCGGAAGAGAAAGCCACGGCUAACUACGUG
rnacentral:rRNA from 1 species